rnacentral:lncRNA from 1 species
AUGGCCGGAGGGCGGGGCCGGACGCCCGGGCAGUGGUCACGUGAUGUGGGGGCGCAGGGGGCGAGGGAAAGGUCGUCCCUCUGCGCAAGGUCUCAGUGCGCUGUCUCCGUGCAGAUUAGGGCAUGUGGAGUUAGCUCCGACUUGUGGACUGUGAAAGCGCGUAGUUCCAUUACCUGCCUGCGGAGCAAGGCUGUUUGGGACGUUGAAAGACGGUACUAACGCAGUGUUCUCUUCGGGUGCUGAAUUUGGAACACAGUCUUACUCUGAGAUGUGACCGGGCAGCUCUGGUAAUACUUUUAUAGCAAGUACCAGUCAAUAGCUAGAUUGAAUACAUGUUGCUUGUUAGAUCUUGGGUACUCAGGUGCUUCUGCCUUUUGAUUCAGCAAAUAUUCCUGAGUCGCAUGCACUGUGCAGCCUGCAGUAUACCCGGGCAUACACAGGAAGCCUGGUAAAUAGAGGGUUUGGAGAAUGAGAUCCUGGUAGGAUAGAAGUGCAGCAGGGGGGUAAGAUGGGAGACCAUGAGGAAAGGUGGCAUUUCUCCUGGAAGCGCUAGAGGUAAGGGGGAAAGGGAGGAGGUUCUGUGGAGUGGUGCUGGGGAGGAAUUCCAGUUCUGUUUUGAUAAGGAAAGAACUAAUCAGUGAAGUGUUUUUUUAAUGCCCGGCCGGGGGCGGGCGGGGUGGGGCUAGGCCAAUGACUAUCCCCAACCUCCUACAAGAGGAGCUUAGUGUUUUAGGCCCCUUGGAGCCUACAGGAUUGUAGUUAGAUUUCGUUACAUCACUUGUCUCUCUGCUGUUGAAAUGCAAUCACACUGACAUUAAGAGAAUGGUUAUUUCCCCAGGCCCCACGGUGCACAGAGGAAACUGGGAUUAGGCGACGGUAGUGUGGUAUGUCUCUCGGCUUCAUCUUUAACUAGCUGGUUGAUCUGGUAUAGGGCAUUUUUCUCCUGCUCUUCCUCCUACAGAUGUGGUGCAGAUUAAACACCACUACUAAUUAUUAAUGGAUAAUUUUUUUUUUGCUUUUUUUUUUAGGGCCUUACCUGUGGCAUAUGGAAGUUCCCAGGCUAGGGGUCAAAUUAGACCUGCAGCUGCCAGCCUAGGCUGCAGCCACAGCAAUGCUGGAUCCCAGCCAUGUCUGUGACCACAGCUCAAGGCAAGAAUGGAUCCUUAACCCACUGUGCCAGGCCAGGGGUAGAACCCGCAUCUUCUUGCCACUGAGCACAACAGGAACUCCCGUUAAUGGAUAUUUAGAGAUGCCAUAAAAUUGUGUAAACACUCUGUAUGGUACAAUGUCAUUAUGCAUUUGUCCAAAUCAGUAGAAUGUGCUAUACCAGGAAUGAAUCUGAAUGUAAACAGUGGACUUGGGUGAUAAUGAUGUGUCCAUGUAGAGAUUCAUAGAUUGUAACACAUGUCCCACUCUGGUGCCGGAUGUGGACGGUGGUGGAGAUUGGUGCACUGCAGGGCAUAAGGAAACUCUACUUUCUGCCUAAUUCUGCUGUGAACGUAAAACUGCCCUAAAAGAAUUCAUUAAUAAAAAUGUAAAAAAGAUGCUAUAUAUCAUUUUUUAUCAGUUACUGAAAAAAAUGUUAUGUAGUUGUGCAGCACUUUACUGGGUUUCAGAACCUUUGAGUACAUUAUCUCAUGGGAGCCUCACAACUUUGAGCCACACAGAGCAGUAGCAUUGGCAUAACUAUUUUAUAAAUGAUGCUUAGGAGUUCCCUGGUGGCCUAGUGGUUAAGGAUUUGGUGUUGUCACUGAUGAGGUUCAAGUUCAAUCCCUGGACUGCUGUGGGCAUGGCCAAAAAAAUCCCAUCCCCACUUCAUAAAUGAUGCUUAAACUCAAGCCUUUCAGUAUAGUGCUGAAUUGGACAGUUUUAAAAAUCUACUACUGGAGUUCCCGUCAUGGUGCAUUGGUUAACAAAUCCGAUUAGGAACCAUGAGGUUGUGGGUUCGGUCCCUGCCCUUGCUCAGUGGGUUAACUAUCCGGCAUUGCCGUGAGCUGUGGUGUAGGUUGCAGACGCGGCUUGGAUUCCACGUUGCUGUGGCUCGGGCGUAGGCCGGAGGCUACAGCUCUGAUUGGACCCCUAGUCUGGGAACCUCCAUGUGCCUCGGGAGCGGCACUAGAAAUGGCAAAAAAAAGACAAAAAAAAAAAAAAAAAAAAAA